UUGCUGCACAAACCAGCACAAACUUUUGACACCAAUUUUGUCUGAUUUGAAGAAGGUGCUGGGGCCAACUUCACUCAGGUCUCUAGAGCCUUAGUAGUGGCAUGGAGGCGUUGCUGGGUAAUUAUGUUACUGGAAGACAAUACUUAAACCUACAACUAUAGACAACAAAUCAAAAAAAUGCAAUUAAAAUACUGUAAAUAUCAAUUAUUUGUACUUCUGUAUCCAAAUCAAAUCAUCAGUUAGUGGAUCUAAAAGCAUAAUGUAAUGCUGAUCACAUUUAGACUUGGCCCAAGACAUAAAUUAACUAUCAAUGCAAUUAAAUCUGAUUUAAUCGUUUACAUUGAUAUUCAUUGCAUAUGGAUUGAAGGCAUAACUUCCCGAAGGUGUGGACAUGUCCCAACCAACUUUGGACUGAAGGGGACAGUCUCCACCAAUCUUUCUUGUACCGUUUUUUUCUUUAUGUGCCUGAAUCUAUAUGCAGACUGUGGACAGUAAUUUGGCAGCAGCUGCGCCGAGUUACAGCCACUUAAUGCUUUUUAAAAUUCCUUUGUAAAACAUAAAUAGCAAGUCCUCUAGGUCAGUAGUAACCAAGCUUUUUGUCACAGCGGAUCAGUCAAGACUUGGCAAUUUUACUGCUGUCCGGGGAGGUGGAGGGGAGGGUCAUGCGGCACAAUUAAAAUUUUGACGAUCUUAGAGCGUACUGAGUUCUAAGCUUGUUGCUUGUGAUAACGGUAACCGAUCCUCUUGUAUGGAGUGAAAAUAGUCUCAAAAUAUCUGUGCGUGUAUAAAAGUAUCUGUGCAUGUGUAAAAAUAUCUGUGUGUGUUAAUUUUUAUUUAUUUAUUUAUUUUUAUUAUGAACCUUCUCAAAACAAUUGACCUGUCAGUUAUCGCUUUUGCACUGCUGCAGGCUAUUUUUGGUUCCUACUGUAAAUAUUGUUCUGGGAGGAUGGUUAUUAGUGUUGCACAAAGUAAGGUUCUGUAACGUAGAUGCAGCAGCCAGUCAAAAGCUGCCUAAUUGAGCUGCUCGUAAGAUGUGUGCUAAUGCUACCUCUCACUCUCAGUAAUGUUUAUAACGUUACAAAUAGUUCUCACAGUUUUUGUGCUGCAUAAAAAUAUAAUGUUAAGUGUCUUUAAGUGUUUUAAAAACUUUGGGUUUGGUUAAAAUUAAACUGUUACUCUUAUAAAGUUUGUCUGAAGUUUUCCCUCCAAAAUGUGUUUGUUGGGCCGCAGACUGUGACUGUGUGUACCAUACCCGGUGAUUGAGUGUGUCCCACACUGUGUCUUAUAGAAUAGGUCCUUUACGCAUUCUUUUACAUAAAGGAGAAGCUGCCUAACUGAGCUGCUGGGAUCUGACUGUGACUGUGUGUACCAUACCUGGUGGUUGAGUGUGUCCCACACUGUCUUAUAGGAAUAAACUGACACAGAUCCUGAUUCCAGUGUGACGUUAUUGAUCCUUUUUACAACUAUUACACGUCUGUAAUACUGGAUUUGUAACUCAUGUAAGCAUCUUUGUGUGUAACUUUGGAUCGUUGUGUCUGUGAAACAUGAUUUGUAAACCUUAAAAAAAAAACCUUCUCCUACGCCUACAAAUGUUGAAAAAGUACGCACAAGUCACCUGGUACACACAUAAAACUGCAUUUACGCACAGAUCUGGUUUUGAGACUCUUUUCACGCUUCGGGAGCUCCCAGAUUGUGUGUAGAUGGUGCAUUUACAUGCUAGUAGAAAGCUGGGUCAUCUGAGUUUUACUCUGAGUCUAGUGUUUUUAUCCUCUAAAACGUUUCUCACUGUGCUUGUGCCGAAGUGGCAAAUACGUUAGUUCGGUGGAAAACGGUAUUUUAUAUUUAUCUCUACACAGGACGAAACGGCUGACUGAUGGAUCGGGUCUGGUGUUAUUUUACUUACUGGAGGAUCAGAAGCUUUCAGAUCUCAACACACUGAUCCUCCAACGGGAUCCUCAGAUCCAGGCAUUGAUUUCUGGUUUCCUGCAACAUUUAGAUACUUUCUGGUCCAACACAACUGAAUUAAAUGGCUGCUUAGGGGAGUCAAGUUCUCCAGAGUCGUGCUAAUGACCUCUGACCUCAUGAUUUGACGCAGGUGCGUUAAAGAAGAGACAUCUAAAGGUUGGAGGACACUGACCCUCCUGAACUGGAGCUAAAGCCCUGCUGUACAAUUUUCACUCAGUUAUAAUCACAUUUACUUACGUAUAUACAGUGGAAACUACCUGUGUUGAGGUAGAUGAGGAGUAUUCACAGUGUCUUUACUUUAAAACCUUUUUGGUUUCCAUUUGUUGAAAGUGAAUUACAAACAUUUACCCGUAGUUUGACCAUUGCUUUAUGGCAGAAAAAAGUUUGAUGUCACAAAUAUAUGAUUUUUAUAGAGGCAUCAUUCGAUUUAUAAUGUAGAAAGAAGAUGACAAAAGUGUUUUCUGAAUUAACUUUAAUGUUCACCUCACUGCAGAAAGGACAGAUUAAAUAUUUAAGAUUGCAACAAAUCUGUUGAAUCUUUAACAAAAUAGGUUCAGAUUAACAUGGGUGGUUUCACAGCAACCUAAAGUUAACAAUGAAAUGUCUUAAAACUUACAUAGAUGCUCAAAUAUUAACUAUAAUGAAUUAACAAAAGAAAACACCAUAAAGCUGUGUAUUCAAAGACAACCAAGGACAGUCUCUACAGAUAAACCAUAAUGUCUACCAACAGAGCACGUUAACUACUGUAGUUGUUUGAAAGGCGUCUUGGUCCAGUUGACGGCUCAAUUUGAAGCUUGAGGUUUUGGUGUUGAAACUCCCAGAAUCUCAGCUGUUGCAGAUUGUCUGAAGAUGCAGAGAAAAGAACAAGUUGUUAGUGUUAGAAAAAAUGUAUGUUGAUUUUCCUGAACAGCUGAUGCACUGACAAACCUGUCUUUGACAAAACAUUACUGAACCUGAAAAUUAUUUGAAUCAUCACAAUGUAUGUAGAAAUCUUUCUUUUUAUGUUGAUCAAAUGUUUAUGCAUUAAAUGUUUUGCUGUGGAGGCUAUUUUUGCAGUGGUGCUUUAAAUAAAUGCAUAAAAUAUA